AUGGAUGAGGCUGGGGAGUAUAAAAGGAGAAUGGAGGGUGACAGCCCAGGUUUGGGGGAGAACAAGAGCCGUGAGCUGCAGCCUUGGGUCGGGAGGCCGGGGGUGGGGGGGCCUCGUGGGGCCUCGGGGGAGGGGACGCGCUCGGGGCUCGCGGUGUCGCUCCGCUGGGGUGUCCUCGCUCUGUCCAGCCGCUCAAGGCCUACCCUGUGUCCUCUGCAGACCGAGCUGCCGGGGCGUUGGAGGCCGGCCAUGGAGGCCCCCCAGCUGCUGACAGCCGCCGUCGUGCUGUGCUCCGCCAGCUGCCUCCUGCCCGACGGCGCGGCGCCCGCCUUCGGUGUCCAGGACGAGGCUGAGGCGCUGCCCCCGCCGCGGGACAACCGCAGGUCCUGGCUGAGCAGCUUCCAGGACUACGUGUGGGACCGCAUCAAGAGCUCCCUCCCCACGGCCACUGUAUUCGCCUUCCUUUUCGCCAUCGUCCUAGUGGGGCUCCUCUGCUGCCUCACUUUCGCUGUAGGUGAACCAGUCUAACGAAGCGCUACAAGAUUCCGUUGCGCAGAAUGUGCUGUCGCUUCCAACGAGGAACUACGUAUCAAUCAAAAUUAAAUUAUCUUCCAUUUUAAAGUCUGUUUGCCUUUCGUUUCGCCUUUAAAACAUGUGAUUCGACAAUGGUAAUAUGCUGUUUUGAUUAUAAUAGUGACACGUACUCAUUACAAGACAAUUCUCACAAAACACCGAAAGAAGAAAAUGUACCUGUGAUCCUAGUGCACAGACACGCUCUGAACAUCUUGCUGUAUCUCCAUUUGUUUUUUUUUAAUUUUUAUUUAUUUAUUCAUGAAAGACACACAGAGAGAGGCAGAGACACAGGCAGAGGGAGAAGCAGGCUCCACGCAGGGAGCCUGACAUGGGACUCGAUCCCGGGACCCCGGGAUCACGCCCUGGGCUGAAGGCAGCACUAAACCCCUGAGCCACCUGGGGAUCCCCUAUUUCCUGUGUUUGUAUGACCAGUUUUUCCCCAGGUCUUUUCUGUGUAAUGAAAGUUCUGUUUUAAUAGAUGUCAUGAGACAACAGGGUUCAGUGGUCAAUUAUGUUUGACAGACGCUGGAUUAAAUGGAUUUACACGUUUCUUUGCUCCAGGACUUCCAAGUGACCUAAUACAUAAAAAUGUAUUUAUGUAUUUAUUUGUCUAUCUAUGUAUUUGAGAGAGAGAGAGCAGCAGAGGGGGAGGGAGGAGCAGGCUCCCCUCUGAGCAGUGAGUCCAACACGGGGCUCGGUCCCAGGACCCUGAGAUCAUGACCUGGGCAGAUGCGUCCCGAUCUCGGAGUCCUGGGAUCAAGCCCCACAUGGGGCUCUGUGCUCAGCGGGGAGCCAGCUUCUCCCUCUCGCUCUUCCCCUCCCCACUGCUCGUGCUCUCUCUCUCUCUCUCUCAAAUAAAUGCAUAAAAAGAAUUUUGUAAAAGGCCACCAUGGAUCUCCACAAGAGGCUACAAUACACAGCAUCUCCCCAAUUUGAAGCUGGGAUACUUCUUCAGGGAGUCCCCAACACCCCGAGGAGUGGCGGCGUGCAUGCAGGCACACAGAUGUGCUCGCGUGGACACCUUCUCUUCUCCCACGCCGCGCGUGGCAUUUCGUGGCCUGCCGCUUUGCCCACUGCGGGACACGUCAGGGCCCAUAUGUCUCUACGUGGGUGCACGGGUGUGUGGGACUGCGGGCCGCUCAGCGCUUCCUGCGGCUCGGGGCCCACGUAGCUCCCCCACGGCGGGCUCCUCUCGGGUGUCUGUGCCCGUUGAGGGCGAUGCUGUUCUAAACGCAGUGCUGCUCUCAGGCUUCAGGUGACCCCUUGGCCCUGCGCCCCGGGCCCUCGGGGGAGCCCUGCGGCAGCCGCCCAGUGCUGGGCCGGGUCACGCACACCCGCUCACGGGCUUGGGAGCACCGAGCUGCGGGAGGAGUCGGAUCGCUGUGGGGGGGGGGCAGCCCCAGGGGGUUCGAAGGCAGCCAAGAGGCCACAGUGACUGCGGGCGGAGCAGGCCCCUGGGGGCCACGGAGGCACCUGCGCUCCUCCUGGGGGUGACAAGGGCCCCCCAGACCGCCUGGGGCAGAGCAGGGCCUGAGAGCGACAGCUGUGUUUGGGGUCAUCGCAGCCGCCAGGCCGAGGAUAUCGGGGAGCAGGGGCGUGGGGGGGUGGGUUUCACAAUGUGCGGGUCCAGAGAGGGGCCGCCGGGGUGGGAGCCAAGGCUGGCCGGGUGGGGGGACACGGAGGCCCCCAGGCGUGUGGCCUGAGCGCGGGGGAUGGAGGGCUUCACGGAGCCGGGGAGCUGCAGGCAGGUGGGCACCUGCUACCUGGCCACGGGGUCCUGGCGCCGCCGCAGGUAAGACCCACAGAGCCGACCCGAGGGUGGGCUGCACCGGGCCGCGGGGACAGGAGGGCACACUGAACAAGCGCGUCGUGCCCUCCCCUGUCCUGGCUCCUCACCUGCCUCGCUGCUGCCUCCGACGGGGACGCCGGGGCGGGGGGGUGCCCCCUGCGUGGGGCCUGCUUCUCCCUCUGCCUGGGUCUCUGCCUCUCUGUCUCUCAUGAAUAAAAUCUUAAAAAAAAGACCACAAAACCUCCGUAGGUGUCUUCUAUGCUCGGUUUAGGUCUGUAGCAACCCUUGAUAUAUUGUU
rnacentral:lncRNA from 1 species